CGGUCGACCGGCGCAACGGGUGCGUUAACGCGUAUGCGACCUACCUAUAACAGGGGGAUAACACUGAGAAAUUGGUACUAAUACCCCAUAAUACUUCGGAAGGCAUCUUUUGGAGUUGAAAGUUCCGGCGGUUAGAGAUGGGCAAUGCGUUGUAUUAGCUAGAUGGUGAGGUAAUGGCUCACCAUGGCGACGAUGUCUAGGGGUUCUGAGAGGAAGGUCCCCCACACUGGAACUGAGACACGGUCCAGACUCCUACGGGAGGCAGCAGUGAGGAAUAUUGGUCAAUGGGCCGAGAGGCUGAACCAGGCCCAUGCCGCGUGAAGGUCACGGCCCUAUGGGUCUUAAACUUCUUUUGUAAGGGAGCAAUAAGGGUCACGUGUGGUCCGAUGAGAGUACCUUACGAAUAAGCAUCGGCUAACUCCGUG
rnacentral:rRNA from 1 species